rnacentral:rRNA from 1 species
GACGAACGCUGGCGGCGUGCUUAACACAUGCAAGUCGAACGAAGUGGCGAACGGGUGAGUACCGCGUAAUCAACCUGCCCUUCAGGGGGGGACAACAGAUGGAAACGACUGCUAAUACCCCAUACUGAAGGGGGAGCUUGCGUCUGAGUAGCUAGUUGGAGGGGUAACGGCCCACCAAGGCGAUGAUCAGUAGCCGGUCUGAGAGGAUGAACGGCCACAUUGGGACUGAGACACGGCCCAGACUCCUACGGGAGGCAGCAGUGGGGAAUCUUCCGCAAUGGACGAAAGUCUGACGGAGCAACGCCGCGUGAGUGAUGACGGCCUUCGGGUUGUAAAGCUCUGUUAAUCGGGACGCGGUACCGGAAUAGAAAGCCACGGCUAACUACGUGCCAGCAGCCGCGGUAAUUC